UCCUAGCCCUUCAACUCUUCACAAGAAAUUCAGAAAUUUAUGAUGAAAUCAGACACGAAAUCAAUGCAUGAGCCUAGUUGGUCUCUAACUUAAGUGAUUUGAGCAUAAGGAUCAUGUUUAGAUGGGAAAGCAUGGAAGGCAAACGGAAAGGAUAUGAGGAAGCAUGUACGAAACGGGCACUCGAGGUAAUAAGUCAUGAGAAUCAAUGGGGUGGCUUGAAUCGGAAUCAUGAAAUAAGAAAAGAGCUCACAAGUCGUUCACCAAUAACCCGUUUCAAUCAAUAUAUUAGCAAUUAUUAUGCUUACCGUAGUUUCUCGGUCGACACUAAUGAUAUGGUAAUGUUAUAUGACAGAUUGGGGGUGGUUGAAAGGCGAAAGUGAUCAAGUCUUGGAAGCGGGUCAACGAUAUGAGGAUUUAGUGAUAUUUUGUUCACUAAGUAUAUGGGUUUCCUUAUUGGGAUAAUUAGACUUAAUUAUUUGUAUUUUGGAGUUUAAGUCCAACGUUUGUUUUAGCAAUAUUCUAGUAUGUCAAUGUGGU